UACGUAGGGUGCGAGCGUUGUCCGGAAUUACUGGGCGUAAAGGGCGCGUAGGCGGCCUUCUAAGUCAGACGUGAAAUCCCCCGGCUUAACCUGGGAACUGCGUCUGAUACUGGGAGGCUUGAGUAUGGGAGAGGGAUGUAGAAUUCCAGGUGUAGCGGUGAAAUGCGUAGAUAUCUGGAGGAAUACCGGUGGCGAAGGCGGCAUCCUGGACCAAUACUGACGCUCAGGUGCGAAAGCGUGGGGAGCAAACAGG
rnacentral:rRNA from 1 species